rnacentral:pre_miRNA from 1 species
AUACUACUCCCUCCGUCACAAAAUUCUUGUCUUACAUUUGUUUAGAUACGAAUGUAUCUAGUCAUAUUUUAGUAUUUAGAUACAUUUAUUUUUAAACAAACCAGACAUUAAUUUUGGGACAGAGGGAGUAUAUA